AUUGAACGCUGGCGGCAGGCCUAACACAUGCAAGUCGAACGCAGUGGGGACGGGUGAGUAACACGUGGGUAACCUCCCAUCAGAGGGGAUAACACUUGGCAACAGGUGCUAAACCGAUACUGAUGGAUGAACCCGCGGUGCAUUAGCGAGUUGGUGUGGUACAGGCUCACCAAGGCCACGCUGCAUAGCGGACCGGAGAGGGUGAUCGGCCACAAUGUGACUGAGACACGGCCCAGACUCCUACGGGAGGCAGAAGUGUGGAAUCUUCGGCAAUGGACGAAAGUCUGACCGAGCAACGCCGCGUGAGUGAAGAAGGUUUUCGGAUCGUAAAACUCUGUUGUUAGAGAAGCGGUAUCUAACCAGAAAGCCACGGCUAACUACGUGCCAGCAGCCGCGGUAAUAC
rnacentral:rRNA from 1 species